AUGGUUGGAAUAAUGGUGAGCGCUUCUACCGGGGUGAUGAAUUCUCUCCUUGGUAAGCUGGCCACCCUGAUGGGGGACGAGUUCGCCAAGCUAAAGAACCUGAGGAAGGAGGUUAAGUACAUCAGCGAUGAGCUGAGCAGCAUGAAGGAUGCUCUAGAGAGCCUUGCAGAUUUGGAUGAGCUGGAUAUACAGACUGCAAGGUGGAGGGACGUGGUCAGGGAGAUGUCUUAUGACAUUGAGGAUAUUAUCGAUGACUUCAUGUCCAAAAUUGGUGAGAAGAGGAAAAAAUCUGGGUUUGUCCAUGACACCAUUCAACGCCUUAGAACUUCAAGGGCCCGCCAUCAGAUUGCUGGCCAGAUUGAGGACAUCAAGAAACUUGUGCGUGAAACAAGUGAACGGCGUGACAGAUACAAGGUCGAUGUCCCCACAUCACAUAAUGUGGCUGUUGACCAACGGGUUGUCGCACUCUAUGAGAAUGCAGCUAAACUUGUUGGCAUGGAGGGCCCAACCAAUGAGGUUGUCAGUUGGCUAAAAGAUGAGGAUAAGCAGUUGAAGGUUGUAUCAAUUGUAGGUUUUGGAAGUUUGGGUAAAACAACACUCGCCAAUGAGGUAUACCAUAAGCUGAAGGCGGAAUUUCAUUGUAGUGCAUUUGUGCCGGUGUCUCAAAAGCCCAACAUUCCAAAACUUCUGAAUAGUUUAUUAACCCAACUUGGGUGUGGACAACCUUUUCAUGAUUGUGAAUUAAAUGUUCUUCUCGACCAACUCAGAGAAAACCUGAAAAACAAGAGGUACUUGGUUAUCAUCGAUGAUCUAUGGGAUGUAUCAGCAUGGAAUAUUAUUAAAUGUGUUUUCCCAGAAAAUAAUCUUGGUAGUAGAUUAAUAGUAACUACAAGAAUCAAGGCUUUGGCUGAGGCAUGUUGUUUCGGUCACCAUGAGCACAUUCUUGAAAUGAAACCUCUUAGUGAAGAAGAAUCAAGAAAAUUGUUUUUUGGUAGGAUAUCUGGCUCUGAAGAAGCUUGUUCAGGUCAACUCAGAGAUGUUUCAGUUCAGAUUCUCAAGAAGUGUGGUGGUUUGCCGCUUGCAAUCAUUAGCAUAUCCGGCCUAUUAGCAAGUGAAAGUUCCAACCAAAAGGAGAAGUGGAAAUAUGUACUGAAUUCGUUGGGGUCAGUGUCGGGCACAAAUCUCACCUUGGAAGCAAUGAGACAGAUCUUGAACCUUAGUUACAAAAAUCUUCCUCACCACCUCAAGACGUGCUUCUUGUAUCUUGGUAUGUUUCCAGAGGACUAUGAAAUAUUUAGGUUUGAUUUGUUAAGACUAUGGGUGUCUGAAGGUUUCGUUAGCAAAGCACGUGGACAAAGCCUAGAACAGACUGCGAUAAGUUAUUUCAAUGAGCUUGUCAACAUGAGCCUUAUUCAACCUGUACAGAUUAAAAGCGAUGGGUCAGUAGGAUCUUGCAAAGUACACGAUAUGUUGUUGUAUCUUAUCUUGUACAAGUCUGCAGAGGAGAAUUUUAUCACUGUUGUAGACAACCCAGAGGCCAUUACAGGACAACUUCAAAAGACCCGUCGGAUGCUCUUCAACUUGGACGGUGCAACAUUGCCAGGUGACGUUAGCAUGUCACAAGUGCGAUCAUUUGCAAAUUGGAGAGGCUCCCUGAAUAUACCUCCUCUGGUAGAAUUCAAGUAUCUUCGAGUUUUUAUUGCUGACUUUACUUCUAGUUCUGAAGAUGACAACCGGAAAAUCGACCUGACAGGACUGUGUAAGUUAUAUCAGCUGCGACAUAUAUGGAUUCGUGGCUGUAGUAAGUACCAGCUACCAACCCAAAUUAGUGGGUUACAGAUGUUGGAAACAUUCGAUAUAGAUGGGUCCUGUAUCCCAAUGGAUAUUUUUCUCCUGCCACAGUUGUUGAAUCUGCAUGUUCCAUUUGUUCAAAGGCUGCCCGAGGGCAUUGGUAAAAUGAGAUCCCUACAACAUCUGCAUAAGUUUAAUAUGCUGCACACCUCACUCGACAGUAUCAAGGGCCUAGGAGAGCUCACCAAUCUGCUCACUCUAUCUCUCAGAACCGGUUUCUCUGAAGACGUGGACAUGGAUGUUCUAAACUCUUCUUUGGCAAAACUGUGUGACCUCAAGUUCCUGGACAUAAUUUCACAUGCUGCUCCUUGGAUACCUGAGGCACUAACCUUGNNNNNNNNNNNNNNNNNNNNNNNNNNNNNNNNNNNNNNNNNNNNNNNNNNNNNNNNNNNNNNNNNNUGGAUUGAGGAACUCCAUAACCUCCAGACCUUGCAUCUCACUGUUGAGAAGAUGGACAAGGAUGGUGUUGGUAUUCUUGCUCAAUUACCAGCCCUCAUCGACCUACCAGCCCUCAUCGACCUUAAAUAA
rnacentral:rRNA from 1 species